CCCCGGCCCCGGCCCCGGCCCUGGCCCUGGCGGCUUCGCGCCCGCGGUCUCCUGAGGCCCUGCCGCUGCGGCUUUCACUGAGUCACGGCCCGGCCCGCCGCUGUCCCUGGUUGGCUCUCGCUGGGUCUCGGAUUCCUCCCCUUCCAGCACCCCUGCUGCGGUCUCGGUGGAGAUUCCGUUGUGGCUUUUCUAGCGCUCCCCUCGGCUGUGCCUUCUCCCUGGGUGUCUCUCUCCUCUCCAGUAGAAGGAAGAUACCCUGUCCUACCCUGCUCUCCUGCCCUUCUGCCCGUCCCUCCUGCCCUCGGGUUUUCUUUCUCUCUCCUUAUUCUUAUUACCGAAUUUUGUUCAUGGGACUUGUGCCUCGCAUGCUAGGUGGCUGGUCCUAUGACCAAGACAGAGGUGAUUCCUGAUGGCUGUGUGAGGAGAGACAGAAGCGGAAAGGGUUUUUUUUUUUUUUUUUUUUUGACAGUUGCCAGAUCCAGAGGACUUUGUUGAGUCCAUUGUCCCCCUAGGCAAAAUCUACUUCUCUAGUUUUGGUCCUAUCUUCCUUUGAUCUUCCAUCCUGAGUGGGGAGAGAGAAAAGGGGUCGAAUGUGAACACGGUUUCCUGAACCCCCGACAUCUCUUCAUCGUUCUCAUCUCUUCCAGCCCCACCCCCAAGGAGUGGGUAGAGGGAGGAAGCCAGGCUGCUCCAUCUCACCUAUCAGCUAAUGUGUGCAUUUGGAGCUGGGGUGGGUGCAGUGUUUUGUUUUUUUUGUUUUUGUUUUUUCCCUGUAGUACGGCUGUUCUUGGCAUUAAGUAGAAGCAGCCCAGGACAGGGGUCAAAGACGGUACUGUCUUCUUUCUAUAGAAUGGGAUGGAUGGCUAAGGGUUACCGAUAUAAAGGACUGUAUCUUAUCAUCCCUCAGCCACUGUUGUGGUCCUGGGCCAAGUUUAUGUUUAGCUUUAUAGUUUUAUCUGGAGUUUUCUUGUAGUUUCAUUGUUUUCUUGAAUUUCACAGUCACUUUAUGCAUUUGUGUGGUAAUGUAUAAAACACUAAUUAAUGUCUUUAACAAAUGAAAUAGGUGCUCUGCCUAAUUUUCCUAGUUUUUUUUUUUUUAUGUUAAGCUUUUGAAAUGUUUAAUUUUGGAUGUGGUUGUUGGCCCUAGUUCACGAAAUUGCCUUUUCUGGCGCCAGGAGGGCAGAGCUUCUGCAUCCAUUUU